rnacentral:rRNA from 1 species
GACGAACGCUGGCGGCGUGCUUAACACAUGCAAGUCGAACGGAAAGGCCCUGCUUUUGUGGGGUGCUCGAGUGGCGAACGGGUGAGUAACACGUGAGUAACCUGCCCUUGACUUUGGGAUAACUUCAGGAAACUGGGGCUAAUACCGGAUAGGAGCUCCUGCUGCAUGGUGGGGGUUGGAAAGUUUCGGCGGUUGGGGAUGGACUCGCGGCUUAUCAGCUUGUUGGUGGGGUAGUGGCUUACCAAGGCUUUGACGGGUAGCCGGCCUGAUAGGGUGACCGGCCACAUUGGGACUGAGAUACGGCCCAGACUCCUACGGGAGGCAGCAGUGGGGAAUAUUGCACAAUGGGCGGAAGCAUGAUGCAGCAACGCCGCGUGCGGGAUGACGGCCUUCGGGUUGUAAACCGCUUUCGCCUGUGACGAAGCGUGAGUGACGGUAAUGGGUAAAGAAGCACCGGCUAACUACGUG